AGCGAACGCUGGCGGCGUGCUUAACACAUGCAAGUCGAACGUGAAAUGUAGCAAUACAGAGUAAAGUGGCGUACGGGUGAGUAACACGUGGGUAAUCUACCAAAGAGCCUGGAAUAACCGACCGAAAGGUUGGCUAAUACUGGAUAGUUCAAAUGAAAUAUAAUGUUUCGAUUGGGAAAGGGAGCGAGCAAUCGCCUUCACUUUUUGAUGAGCCCGCGUCUGAUUAGCUAGUUGGUAGGGUAAUGGCCUACCAAGGCGACGAUCAGUAGCUGGUCCGAGAGGAUGAUCAGCCACACUGGAACUGAAACACGGUCCAGACUCCUACGGGAGGCAGCAGUGGGGAAUCUUGCGCAAUGGACGAAAGUCUGACGCAGCCACGCCGCGAGAGUGAAGAAGGCCUUCGGGUUGUAAAGCUCUGUCGGAAGGGACAAAAACGUUUAAGGUUAAUAGCCUUAGAUCUUGAUGGUACCUUCAAAGGAAGCACCGGCUAACUUCGUGCCAGCAGCCGCAGUAA
rnacentral:rRNA from 1 species